GAUGAACGCUGGCGGCGUGCCUAAUACAUGCAAGUCGAGCGAACGGACGAGAAGCUUGCUUCUCUGAUGUUAGCGGCGGACGGGUGAGUAACACGUGGAUAACCUACCUAUAAGACUGGGAUAACUUCGGGAAACCGGAGCUAAUACCGGAUAAUAUUUUGAACCGCAUGGUUCAAAAGUGAAAGACGGUCUUGCUGUCACUUAUAGAUGGAUCCGCGCUGCAUUAGCUAGUUGGUAAGGUAACGGCUUACCAAGGCAACGAUGCAUAGCCGACCUGAGAGGGUGAUCGGCCACACUGGAGCUGAGACACGGUCCAGACUCCUACGGGAGGCAGCAGUAGGGAAUCUUCCGCAAUGGGCGAAAGCCUGACGGAGCAACGCCGCGUGAGUGAUGAAGGUCUUCGGAUCGUAAAACUCUGUUAUUAGGGAAGAACAUAUGUGUAAGUAACUGUGCACAUCUUGACGGUACCUAAUCAGAAAGCCACGGCUAACUACGUGCCAGCAGCCGCGGUAAUACGUAGGUGGCAAGCGUUAUCCGGAAUUAUUGGGCGUAAAGCGCGCGUAGGCGGUUUUUUAAGUCUGAUGUGAAAGCCCACGGCUCAACCGUGGAGGGUCAUUGGAAACUGGAAAACUUGAGUGCAGAAGAGGAAAGUGGAAUUCCAUGUGUAGCGGUGAAAUGCGCAGAGAUAUGGAGGAACACCAGUGGCGAAGGCGACUUUCUGGUCUGUAACUGACGCUGAUGUGCGAAAGCGUGGGGAUCAAACAGGAUUAGAUACCCUGGUAGUCCACGCCGUAAACGAUGAGUGCUAAGUGUUAGGGGGUUUCCGCCCCUUAGUGCUGCAGCUAACGCAUUAAGCGCUCCGCCUGGGGAGUACGACCGCAAGGUUGAAACUCAAAGGAAUUGACGGGGACCCGCACAAGCGGUGGAGCAUGUGGUUUAAUUCGAAGCAACGCGAAGAACCUUACCAAAUCUUGACAUCCUUUGACAACUCUAGAGAUAGAGCCUUCCCCUUCGGGGGACAAAGUGACAGGUGGUGCAUGGUUGUCGUCAGCUCGUGUCGUGAGAUGUUGGGUUAAGUCCCGCAACGAGCGCAACCCUUAAGCUUAGUUGCCAUCACUAAGUUGGGCACUCUAAGUUGACUGCCGGUGACAAACCGGAGGAAGGUGGGGAUGACGUCAAAUCAUCAUGCCCCUUAUGAUUUGGGCUACACACGUGCUACAAUGGACAAUACAAAGGGCAGCGAAACCGCGAGGUCAAGCAAAUCCCAUAAAGUUGUUCUCAGUUCGGAUUGUAGUCUGCAACUCGACUACAUGAAGCUGGAAUCGCUAGUAAUCGUAGAUCAGCAUGCUACGGUGAAUACGUUCCCGGGUCU
rnacentral:rRNA from 1 species